rnacentral:rRNA from 1 species
GGAGGCAGCAGUAGGGAAUAUUGGUCAAUGGACGCAAGUUUGAACCAGCCAUGCCGCGUGGAGGAUGAAGGCCCUAUGGGUCGUAAACUUCUUUUAUUAGGGAAGAAAAAAUGGGAUGCGUCCUAUACUGACGGUACUUAAUGAAUAAGGAUCGGCUAACUUCGUGCCAGCAGCCGCGGUAAGACGAGGGAUCCUAGC